ACGACCUUACUUGAACAGGAUCUGUUCUAUAGGCUCGUACUACUGUAUCCUUGAUUUCUAAGGAGACAGGAAUGAAAGUCUGGAUGAAGAAAAGAGACCGUGCGAUCAGAGCGUGAUUAAUGGCUGAGAUGAUUGUCAGGUUGAUAUGGCAUCUUGUGCAGUAGAUGAUCGCUCUUGUGCAGUCUACUCUGUACGGGGUGGUCGUACGGUGAUAUGACAGACU